AUACUACUCCCUCCAUCCCAAAAUUCUUGUCUAAGAUUUGUCUAGAUACAGAUGUAUCUAAUACUAAAAUGUGACUUGAUACAUCUGUAUCUAGACAAAUCUAAGACAAGAAUUUUGGGACAGAGGGAGUACUAU
rnacentral:pre_miRNA from 1 species